AACGAACGCUGGCGGCAUGCCUAACACAUGCAAGUCGAACGAGACCUUCGGGUCUAGUGGCGCACGGGUGCGUAACGCGUGGGAACCUGCCCUUAGGUUCGGAAUAACUCCCCGAAAGGGGUGCUAAUACCGGAUAAUGUCUUCGGGCCAAAGAUUUAUCGCCUUUGGAUGGGCCCGCGUUGGAUUAGCUAGUUGGUAGGGUAAAAGCCUACCAAGGCGACGAUCCAUAGCUGGUCUGAGAGGAUGAUCAGCCACACUGGGACUGAGACACGGCCCAGACUCCUACGGGAGGCAGCAGUGGGGAAUAUUGGACAAUGGGCGAAAGCCUGAUCCAGCAAUGCCGCGUGAGUGAUGAAGGCCUUAGGGUUGUAAAGCUCUUUUACCCGGGAUGAUAAUGACAGUACCGGGAGAAUAAGCACCGGCUAACUCCGUG
rnacentral:rRNA from 1 species